CCUACGGGGGGCAGCAGUGAGGAAUAUUGGUCAAUGGACGAGAGUCUGAACCAGCCAAGUAGCGUGAAGGAUGACUGCCCUAUGGGUUGUAAACUUCUUUUAUAUGGGAAUAAAAUGUUCCACGUGUGGGAUUUUGUAUGUACCAUAUGAAUAAGGAUCGGCUAACUCCGUGCCAGCAGCCGCGGUAAUACGGAGGAUCCGAGCAUUAUCCGGAUUUAUUGGGUUUAAAGGGAGCGUAGGUGGAUUGUUAAGUCAGUUGUGAAAGUUUGCGGCUCAACCGUAAAAUUGCAGUUGAAACUGGCAGUCUUGAGUACAGUAGAGGUGGGCGGAAUUCGUGGUGUAGCGGUGAAAUGCUUAGAUAUCACGAAGAACUCCGAUUGCGAAGGCAGUUCACUGGACUGCAACUGACACUGAGGCUCGAAAGUGUGGGUAUCAAACAGGAUUAGAUACCCGAGUAGUC
rnacentral:rRNA from 1 species